UCUAGGAAAACCAUGUAAACCACUAGAACUAGAAAAUGGCAGAGUUGAUUUGACCGAUCUCCGGUUUGCUGCAACAGCAACCUUCUCCUGUAAUGAAGGUUACAAAAUAAUUGGACCGACUUCUGCCCAAUGUGUGAUUGCAGGAAAUGGAGUUGAUUGGGAUAAGGAGGUUCCACUUUGCCAAGAAAUUAGAUGUCCAUCUCCAGACAUUACCAAUGGAAAAGCAAUACCUAGAAAAGAAACCUAUGUGUAUGAGGACAAGAUUCGCAUUGAAUGUAAUCCCGGUUACGCCCUCAAAGACAAGAAUGGAUUGAUUAAGUGUGAACAUAAUCAUGCAUGGCAUCCUCCAUUACCAAUUUGCGAACCGGCUUGUGAGCCACCUGCACGCAUCUCUAAUGGACGGGACGACCGCGGCUGGAGAAAUGUUUUCCUUGUUGGAUCAAGUGUGACCUACGACUGUGACCGUGGUUGGUCACUUGUUGGAGUAGCCUCCAUUCGAUGUACAGCUGGUGAUGGGGGAACUCCACGCUGGAAUGCACCUGUCCCUCAGU